rnacentral:rRNA from 1 species
CCUACGGGAGGCAGCAGUGGGGAAUAUUGCACAAUGGGGGGAACCCUGAUGCAGCGACGCCGCGUGAGUGAAGAAGUAUUUCGGUAUGUAAAGCUCUAUCAGCAGGAACGAGACAAGACGGUACCUGACUAAGAAGCCCCGGCUAACGACGUGCCAGCAGCCGCGGUAAUACGUAGGGAGCAAGCGUUAUCCGGAAACACUGGGCGUAAAGGGAGCGUAGACGGCUGAGCAAGCCUGAAGUGAAAGGUGGGGGCCCAACCCGCGGACUGCUUUGGGAACUGUACGGCUGGAGUGCAGGAGAGGUAAGUGGAAUUCCUAGUGUAGCGGUAAAAUGCGUAGAUAUUAGGAGGAACACCAGUGGCGAAGGCGGCUUACUGGACUGUAACUGACGUUGAGGCUCGAAAGCGUGGGGAGCAAACAGGAUUAGAUACCCCGGUAGUC